UGACGGUACCUGACUAAGAAGCUCCGGCUAAAUACGUGCCAGCAGCCGCGGUAAUACGUAUGGAGCAAGCGUUAUCCGGAUUUACUGGGUGUAAAGGGAGCGUAGGCGGUGAUGCAAGUCAGAAGUGAAAACCCGGGGCUCAACCCCGUGGAUUGCUUUUGAGACUGUGUUGCUGGAGUACAGGAGGGGCAGGCGGAAUUCCUGGUGUAGCGGUGAAAUGCGUAGAUAUCAGGAGGAACACCGGUGGCGAAGGCGGCUCUCUGGUCUGUAACUGACGCUGAGGCUCGAAAGCGUGGGGAGCAAACAGGAUUAGAUACCCUG
rnacentral:rRNA from 1 species